rnacentral:lncRNA from 1 species
GCAGGUUUUAUUUGACCAUGACCUCAAUUUCACGGUUCAUUGCACAGUGUUAAGUUUUUGUGUUUUGGUCUGUUUUUCUUAAACUAUAAGUAAUAGGUCAAAUAUAUUUAUUGUAUGGAAGCAUUGUUAGCUGUACAUGUCUGCCUGGCAUGGUUCAUCUGACCUUGACCUCAUUUUCAUGGUUCAUUUGUCUUUGUUUAGCUAUCUUGGUUUAUGUUAAGUUUAUGUGGCAGUUGUUAAAGCUUUAUACUUAGGACUAUCAACAUAAUAUCAAUGAUUAGUAAAGAAGGCGAGACAUUUCAGUGUGUGCACUCUUGUUUA